AUGGUUCUCUCCCGUCAACUUCCACAGCGGCGCCCUUCGGCCGUGCAAAGCUUCGCCUCAGCCUCUUCUCCGAUAUCGCUUCAUCUCUGUUCAACUUCUAAUCAGCGCUCAAACUUUGUUCAGUUAUGUCUCGGUUCCCCUCGUCACUUUCGUCUUCUCAAUCGCGGUUCCGAUCUCAUUACCGAUUCACAGCUUCCGCUUUCGUGCGAUUUCGAGGUUUGA